rnacentral:rRNA from 1 species
UACGUAGGGGGGCUAGCGUUGCUCGGAAUUACUGGGCGUAAAGGGCGCGUAGGCGGCCUGCUAAGUCGAACGUGAAAUCCCUGGGCUCAACCCAGGAACUGCGUCCGAUACUGGUUGGCUUGAAUCCGGGAGAGGGAUGUGGAAUUCCAGGUGUAGCGGUGAAAUGCGUAGAUAUCUGGAGGAACACCGGUGGCGAAGGCGGCUCACUGGCCCCGGUACUGACGCUGAUGGUGCGAAAAGCGUGGGGGAGCAAAACAGGG